UACGUGAGGGGCGAACGUUGUUCGGUGUCACUGGGCUUAAAGGGCGCGUAGGUGGUUGUGUAAGUAACGUGUGAAAUCCCUCGGCUUACCCGGGGAAUUGCAUGUUAUACUGCAUGACUUGAGGAUCAGAGGGGAAUGGGGAACUCCAGGUGUAGCGGUGAAAUGCGCAGAUAUCUGGGGGAAGGCCGGCGGCGAAGGCGCCAUUCUGGACCGAAACUGACGCUGAGGCGCGAAAGCCAGGGGAGCAAACGGG
rnacentral:rRNA from 1 species